CACAUUAUUUGGUCUAACAGUUUUUGUUUAUCAUUCUGAAACUGAGCUUAUCUAAUACAUUGAUAAAUUAUUUCAAAGGUAUUUUUAUAGUUCAAAUCGCUUCACUUUUACCCUGACACGUAUAAAUGACUAGGAAUGACCUUCAGAUAGCGUUUAGCAACUGUAACCAAUCUGACAAUAAUGUGUUCAUCAGGUACCUGUGGAUUAAAUCACAUACUGGCAUAUUUAAGAUGAAUGUCAGUCUGAAAAAUAAAUAUACUAUAUUAAUUCAAAUACGACUCUUUGUGUAGGUAUUUUGUCAUAUGUUUAAGAAAAAGCUAAAGAGAAUGGAAAUCCUAUGACAAUAACUCAAGUCUUUCUUCAAAGUGCAUGCAGUCUUUUGCAGUACCUCAUUCAGCCAAGUAUUUGUUCUCUACCUCAUUCAGUAUAAGGCAGCCUUUAAUUUGCUUAGAAGGCAACAUUAGAAGGUUAGAGUUCAGCAGGAACAUAGAAUUUUAAAAUGUGACUUCAACUGAAUAAAUUUGAAUUUCUGUAGGGAGUAAAGAAUCAAAACACCUAUUUAAAGACUGCAAAAUAUGAUAAUUAUUUUUAAAGUAAUUGAUUAAACCUGGUAGGUUUUCCCAAAAUGAAAAACAAUCAGUUCUAAAACCAAAGCUGAUUUUUAGAAAAUGUGAAAAUGUAAAUCAACCCUAUCCAUAAUAGAUUCUCUAAAACUUUAUCUUACAGUCACUUUCAAAUAACUAUUCAAAAAUGUAACUGCUAUAUUAACAUCUUAAAAUAAUUUAAAACAUUUUAAAAUAUGAAUACUGUAGUUUAAAACAAAGAAUCUAGGGGAAGGAAAAGUAGACAAAGAAAUGCCAAUUCCAGUCCAAAGCUGUAUUUGCCAAGUUUUCUUAGAAUGACUUUUACCGAUUUAUGAAUUCUUAUAAACAGAAUGCAUAAUGGAAAUACUGAUUUUUGUCUAAAGUGGCAUUAUUGACUGCUGCUGUGAUGCUACUGUAAUGUAAUACAUUAUUAAAUUGUUUCAAGGUGCUGUUUUGCCUAAAAAUUUUGUGUGUCUUGAAAACUAUAGUAUUGGGUAUUGAGACUCUGCAAAUUCUCGGCAUGCUUGGCAUGAGGUAAUCGGUUUUUAUUCUUACAAAAUUGUAACUAUGUAAGUGUGUUUAUUAAAAGAACACAAACUAAAAAAGUUAACAGAAAUUAAAGUUGUGGGAUGAAAAAGUUACAGGAUAAAAAAAUACUGUGGAAAAGUGGCAAAAAAAAGUUGUGGAAAAAAAGUAAAAAAAAAGUUUUAUGAAAAGUUAUUUUAAAAAGUUAUGAAAAAUUAGUUACAGGAUUUAAAAAAAGUCAUGGGAUAAAAAUAAAAAUAAAUAAAAGCAGGCCCCUGUCAGCAUAAGCCUGGAGAAGUGGGUCUGGAGUCUUCACCCCCACCAUGUCCCUACAACCCCUCCCCAGUCAGCCCUUUACCAUUAGGGUAGCAAGACAAGACCCUUGUCUAAUGGAGGGAGACAAACAGACCCUUUACCACCUUGACCAAGGCUGAGUCCUUACAUUUCUGGAUGAUGAUGUUUGUUAUUUAAGAGCCAGAGGUUGGUGGAGUUGGUUUGUUUGGAGGAGGUCUGACGGCCUUCUUACUCUCACCAAAGCAACUUUUCCCUCAGGGGGGCUCCCAUCUUCUUACUCAGAGAGGCAGCUGAGGCGGGACAG
rnacentral:lncRNA from 10 species